rnacentral:rRNA from 1 species
UAGUCCACGCNGUAAACGAUGAAUGCUAGCUGUUAGCGAUAUACUGUUAGCGGCACAGAGAAAUCGUUAAGCAUUCCACCUGNGGAGUACGCCGGCAACGGUGAAACUCAAAGGAAUUGACGGGGGCCCGNACAAGCGGAGGAACAUGUGGUUUAAUUCGAUGAUACGCGAGGAACCUUACCUGGGCUUAAAUUGCAGUGGAAUAACGUGGAAACAUGUUAGCCUUCGGGCCGCUGUGAAGGUGCUGCAUGGUUGUCGCCAGCUCGUGCCGUGAGGUGUCGGCUUAAGUGCCAUAACGAGCGCAACCCUCAUCGAUAGUUACUAACAGGUUAAGCUGAGGACUCUAUCGAGACUGCCGACGUAAGUCGUGGGGAAGGUGGGGAUGACGUCAAAUCAGCACGGCCCUUACGUCCAGGGCUACACACGUGUUACAAUGGGGGGUACAAAGGGCAGCUACCUGGCGACAGGAUGCUAAUCUCAAAAACCUCUCUCAGUUCGGAUUGGAGUCUGCAACCCGACUCCAUGAAGCUGGAUUCGCUAGUAAUCGCGCAUCAGCCACGGCGCGGUGAAUACGUUCCCGGGCCUUGUACACACCGCCCGUCAAGCCAUGGGAGCCGGGGGGACCUGAAGUAUGCAACCGUAAGGAGCGUCCUAGGGUAAAACUGGUGACUGGGGCU